CAAGAUGGUCUGUGAGGCAGAUGAAACUGAUCUAAAUAUACACGUAUUGGCUGUCAUGCUACCACAUUAUGAUGGCUUGAGCUUGUAAAGAAUGCUGCUUAACAGUUCAUCAGGUGCACCAGUGGCUGUGAGGUUUGAUGGUGGCAGGGCUUGGAAAGGCGAGGUGUAGGCUCGAUGAAGGAGAAAUUGAUUAUGUGAGGGUUUUGAAUGGAGCCCUUCCAAAUGAUAUGGGAGUUUUUGGCUGGUG